GACGAACGCUGGCGGCGUGCCUAAUACAUGCCAGUCGAACGCUGAAGGAGGAGCUUGCUUCUCUGGAUGAGUUGCGAACGGGUGAGUAACGCGUAGGUAACCUGCCUGGUAGUGGGGGAUAACUAUUGGAAACGAUAGCUAAUACCGCAUAAUAGCAGUUGUUGCAUGAUAACUGUUUGAAAGGUGCAAUUGCACCGCUACCAGAUGGACCUGCGUUGUAUUAGCUAGUUGGUGGGGUAACGGCUCACCAAGGCGACGAUACAUAGCCGACCUGAGAGGGUGAUCGGCCACACUGGGACUGAGACACGGCCCAGACUCCUACGGGAGGCAGCAGUAGGGAAUCUUCGGCAAUGGACGGAAGUCUGACCGAGCAACGCCGCGUGAGUGAAGAAGGUUUUCGGAUCGUAAAGCUCUGUUGUAAGAGAAGAACGAGUGUGAGAGUGGAAAGUUCACACUGUGACGGUAUCUUACCAGAAAGGGACGGCUAACUACGUG
rnacentral:rRNA from 1 species